rnacentral:rRNA from 1 species
GGGCUUACUUGAAUGCUUAUUGCACCACAUGUGUUUUUCUUUGAAACAAACUUGCUUUGGCGGUGGGCCCAGCCUGCCGCCAGAGGUCUAAACUUACAACCAAUUUUUUAUUAACUUGUCACACCAGAUUAUUACUAAAUAGUCAAAACUUUCAACAACGGAUCUCUUGGUUCUCGCAUCGAUGAAGAACGCAGCGAAAUGCGAUACGUAAUAUGAAUUGCAAAUAUUCGUGAAUCAUCGAAUCUUUGAACGCACAUUGCGCCCUCUGGUAUUCCGGAGGGCAUGCCUGUUUGAGCGUCGUUUCUCCCUCAAACCGCUGGGUUUGGUGUUGAGCAAUACGACUUGGGUUUGCUUGAAAGACGGUAGUGGUAAGGCGGGAUCGCUUUGACAAUGGCUUAGGUCUAACCAAAAACAUUGCUUGCGGCGGUAACGUCUACCACGUAUAUCUUCAAACUUUGACCUCAAAUCAGGUAGGACUACCCGCUGAACUUAAGCAUAUCAAAAGACGGAGGAA